CCUACGGGUGGCAGCAGUGGGGAAUAUUGCACAAUGGGGGAAACCCUGAUGCAGCGACGCCGCGUGAGUGAAGAAGUAAUUCGUUACGUAAAGCUCUAUUAGCAGGGAAGUAAUACUGACCUUACGGUCAGCAGACGGUACCUGAGUUAGAAGCGCCGGCUAACUACGUGCCAGCAGCCGCGGUAAUACGUAGGGGGCAAGCGUUAUCCGGAUUUACUGGGUGUAAAGGGAGCGUAGACGGGGCGCCAAGUCUGGUGUGAAAUGCUGCAGCUUAACUGCGGAACUGCAUUGGAAACUGGCGAACUAGAGGGCAGGAGGGGUAAGCGGAAUUCGUAGUGUAGCGGUGAAAUGCGUAGAUAUUAGGAGGAACACCGGUGGCGAAGGCGGCUUACUGAACCGUAACUGACGUUGAGGCUCGAAAGCGUGGGGAGCAAACAGGAUUAGAUACCCUUGUAGUC
rnacentral:rRNA from 1 species